rnacentral:rRNA from 1 species
UCAGAACGAACGCUGGCGGCAUGCCUAACACAUGCAAGUCGAACGAGACCUUCGGGUCUAGUGGCGCACGGGUGCGUAACGCGUGGGAAUCUGCCCUUAGGUUCGGAAUAACUCAGAGAAAUUUGAGCUAAUACCGGAUGAUGACGUAAGUCCAAAGAUUUAUCGCCUAGGGAUGAGCCCGCGUAGGAUUAGGUAGUUGGUGGGGUAAAGGCUCACCAAGCCGACGAUCCUUAGCUGGUCUGAGAGGAUGAUCAGCCACACUGGGACUGAGACACGGCCCAGACUCCUACGGGAGGCAGCAGUGGGGAAUAUUGGACAAUGGGCGAAAGCCUGAUCCAGCAAUGCCGCGUGAGUGAUGAAGGCCUUAGGGUUGUAAAGCUCUUUUACCCGGGAUGAUAAUGACAG